rnacentral:rRNA from 1 species
GACUCGUCACACUAUCAUUAACUGAAUCCAUAGGUUAAUGAGGCGAACCGGGGGAACUGAAACAUCUAAGUACCCCGAGGAAAAGAAAUCAACCGAGAUUCCCCCAGUAGCGGCGAGCGAACGGGGAGGAGCCCAGAGCCUGAAUCAGCAUGUGUGUUAGUGGAAGCGUCUGGAAAGGCGCGCGAUACAGGGUGACAGCCCCGUACACAAAAGCGCAUGUGCUGUGAGCUCGAUGAGUAGGGCGGGACACGUGGUAUCCUGUCUGAAUAUGGGGGGACCAUCCUCCAAGGCUAAAUACUCCUGACUGACCGAUAGUGAACCAGUACCGUGAGGGAAAGGCGAAAAGAACCCCGGCGAGGGGAGUGAAAAAGAACCUGAAACCGUGUACGUACAAGCAGUGGGAGCACCCUUUGGGGUGUGACUGCGUACCUUUUGUAUAAUGGGUCAGCGACUUAUAUUCUGUAGCAAGGUUAACCGAAUAGGGGAGCCGGAGGGAAACCG